rnacentral:rRNA from 1 species
GACGAACGCUGGCGGCGUGCUUAACACAUGCAAGUCGAACGGAAAGGCCCUUCGGGGUACUCGAGUGGCGAACGGGUGAGUAACACGUGGGUGAUCUGCCCUGCACUUUGGGAUAAGCCUGGGAAACUGGGCCUAAUACCGAAUAGGACCACGCGCUUCAUGGUGUGUGGUGGAAAGCUUUUGCGGUGUGGGAUGGGCCCGCGGCCUAUCAGCUUGUUGGUGGGGUAAUGGCCUACCAAGGCGACGACGGGUAGCCGGCCUGAGAGGGUGACCGGCCACACUGGGACUGAGAUACGGCCCAGACUCCUACGGGAGGCAGCAGUGGGGAAUAUUGCACAAUGGGCGCAAGCCUGAUGCAGCGACGCCGCGUGAGGGAUGACGGCCUUCGGGUUGUAAACCUCUUUCACCAGGGACGAAGCGUAAGUGACGGUACCUGGAGAAGAAGCACCGGCCAACUACGUG